AUUGAACGCUGGCGGCAUGCCUUACACAUGCAAGUCGAACGGCAGCACGGGAGCAAUCCUGGUGGCGAGUGGCGAACGGGUGAGUAAUAUAUCGGAACGUGCCCAGUCGUGGGGAUAACGUAGCGAAAGCUACGCUAAUACCGCAUACGAUCUAUGGAUGAAAGCGGGGGAUCGCAAGACCUCGCGCGAUUGGAGCGGCCGAUAUCAGAUUAGGUAGUUGGUGAGGUAAAGGCUCACCAAGCCGACGAUCUGUAGCUGGUCUGAGAGGACGACCAGCCACACUGGGACUGAGACACGGGCCCAGACUCCUACGGGAGGCAGCAGUGGGGAAUUUUGGGACAAUGGGCGCGAAGCCUGAUCCAGCAAUGCCGCGUGCAGGAUGAAGGCCUUCGGGUUGUUAAACGUG
rnacentral:rRNA from 1 species